rnacentral:rRNA from 1 species
UACGUAGGGUGCGAGCGUUGUCCGGAAUUAUUGGGCGUAAAGAGCUUGUAGGCGGUUUGUCGCGUCUGCUGUGAAAAUCCGGGGCUCAACCCCGGACUUGCAGUGGGUACGGGCAGGCUAGAGUGUGGUAGGGGAUACUGGAAUUCCUGGUGUAGCGGUGAAAUGCGCAGAUAUCAGGAGGAACACCGAUGGCGAAGGCAGGUCUCUGGGCCACUACUGACGCUGAGAAGCGAAAGCAUGGGGAGCGAACAGG